rnacentral:rRNA from 1 species
AUUGAACGCUGGCGGCAGGCCUAACACAUGCAAGUCGAACGGUAACAGGAAGAAGCUUGCUUCUUUGCUGACGAGUGGCGGACGGGUGAGUAAUGUCUGGGAAACUGCCUGAUGGAGGGGGAUAACUACUGGAAACGGUAGCUAAUACCGCAUAACGUCGCAAGACCAAAGAGGGGGACCUUCGGGCCUCUUGCCAUCGGAUGUGCCCAGAUGGGAUUAGCUAGUAGGUGGGGUAACGGCUCACCUAGGCGACGAUCCCUAGCUGGUCUGAGAGGAUGACCAGCCACACUGGAACUGAGACACGGUCCAGACUCCUACGGGAGGCAGCAGUGGGGAAUAUUGCACAAUGGGCGCAAGCCUGAUGCAGCCAUGCCGCGUGUAUGAAGAAGGCCUUCGGGUUGUAAAGUACUUUCUAGCGGGGAGGAAGGGAGGUAAAGUUAAGU